rnacentral:rRNA from 1 species
UACGGAGGGGGCUAGCGUUAUUCGGAAUUACUGGGCUUAAAGCGCACGUAGGCGGAUCUGCAAGUCAGAGGUGAAAUCCCAGGGCUCAACCUUGGAACUGCCUUUGAAACUGCGGGUCUUGAGCUCGAGAGAGGUGAGUGGAAUUCCGAGUGUAGAGGUGAAAUUCGUAGAUAUUCGGAGGAACACCAGUGGCGAAGGCGGCUCACUUGCUCGAUACUGACGCUGAGGUGCGAAAGCGUCGGGAGCAAACAGG